rnacentral:tRNA from 1 species
ACCUGGCUGGCUCAGUUGGAAGAGCAUGUGACUUUUGAUCUCAGGGUUGUGAGAUCAAGCCCCACACUGGGUG